AGCGAACGCUGGCGGCAGGCCUAACACAUGCAAGUCGAACGAAGUCUUCGGACUUAGUGGCGGACGGGUGAGUAACACGUGGGAACGUACCUUUUGGUUCGGAACAACCCAGGGAAACUUGAGCUAAUACCGGAUGAGCCCUUAGGGGGCAAGAUUUAUCGCCGAAAGAGCGGCCCGCGUUAGAUUAGCUAGUUGGUGAGGUAAAGGCUCACCAAGGCUACGAUAUAUAGCUGGUCUGAGAGGAUGAUCAGCCACACUGGGACGGAGACACGGCCCAGACGCCUACGGGAGGCAGCAGUGGGGAAUCUUGCGCAAUGGGCGAAAGCCUGACGCAGCCAUGCCGCGUGAAUGAUGAAGGUCCUAGGAUUGUAAAAUUCUUUUACCAGGGACGAUAAUGACGGUACCUGGAGAAAAAGCCCCGGCUAACUUCGUGCCAGCCGCCGCCGUAAGAC
rnacentral:rRNA from 1 species